rnacentral:tRNA from 1 species
GCCUAGGUGGCGGAAUUGGUAGACGCGCUAGACUCAAAAUCUUGUGUGGGUAACCACGUGUGGGUUCGAGUCCCACCCUAGGUACUA